rnacentral:tRNA from 1 species
GCGGGUAUGGCGGAAUUGGCAGACGCGCCAGAUUUAGGUUCUGGUGUCAAAGACGUGCAGGUUCAAGUCCUGUUACCCGCACCA